CCUACGGGUGGCAGCAGUGAGGAAUAUUGGUCAAUGGUCGUAAGACUGAACCAGCCAAGUAGCGUGCAGGAUGACGGCCCUAUGGGUUGUAAACCGCUUUUAUGCGGGGACAAAACGCGUCACGUGUGACGCUUUGUAGGUACCGCAUGAAUAAGGAUCGGCUAAUUCCGUGCCAGCAGCCGCGGUAAUACGGAAGGUCCGGGCGUUAUCCGGAUUUAUUGGGUUUAAAGGGAGCGUAGGCCGGAGGUUAAGCGUGCCGGUAAAUGCCGUGGCUCAACCCUGGCACUGCGGCGGGAACUGGCUUGCUUGAGUGCGCGAAACGUAUGCGGAAUGCGUGGUGUAGCGGUGAAAUGCUUAGAUAUCACGAAGAACUCCGAUUGCGAAGGCAGCAUACGGCAGCGCUACUGACGCUGAUGCUCGAAGGCGCGGGUAUCGAACAGGAUUAGAUACCCCUGUAGUC
rnacentral:rRNA from 1 species